GAGUUUGAUCCUGGCUCAAAUUGAACGCUGGCGGCAUGCCUAACACAUGCAAGUCGAACGGAAACGAUGGGAGCUUGCUCCCAGGCGUCUAGUGGCGGACGGGUGAGUAAUACUUAGGAAUCUACCCAGUAGCGGGGGACAACAUUCGGAAACGGAUGCUAAUACCGCAUACGCUCUACGGAAGAAAGCAGGGGAUCUUCGGACCUUGCACUAUUGGAUGAGCCUAAGUCGGAUUAGCUUGUUGGUGAGGUAAAGGCUCACCAAGGCGACAAUCCGUAGCUGGUUUGAGAGGACGAUCACCCACACUGGGACUGAGACACGGCCCACACUCCUACGGGAGGCAGCAGUGGGGAAUAUUGGACAAUGGGGGCAACCCUGAUCCAGCAAUGCCGCGUGUGUGAAGAAGGCCUGCGGGUUGUAAAGCACUUUCAGUAUAGAAGAAAAGCCUACGGUUAAUAACCGUGAGUCUUGACGUUACCUACAGAAGAAGCUCCGGCUAACUCCGUGCCAGCAGCCGCGGUAAUAAGGGCGA
rnacentral:rRNA from 1 species